rnacentral:rRNA from 1 species
GACGAACGCUGGCGGCGUGCUUAACACAUGCAAGUCGAACGGAAAGGCCCUUCGGUGUACUCGAGUGGCGAACGGGUGAGUAACACGUGGGUGAUCUGCCCUGCACUUUGGGAUAAGCCUGGGAAACUGGGUCUAAUACCGAAUAGGACCACGCUCUUCAUAGCGUGUGGGGGAAAGCUUUUGCGGUGUUGGUUGGGCCCGCGGCCUAUCGGCUUGUUGGUGGGGUAAUGGCCUACCAAGGCGACGACGGGUAGCCGGCCUGUGAGGGUGACCGGCCACACUGGGACUGAGAUACGGACCAGACUCCUACGGGAGGCAGCAGUGGGGAAUAUUGCACAAUGGGCGCAAGCCUGAUGCAGCGACGCCGCGUGAGGGAUGACGGCCUUCGGGUUGUAAACCUCUUUCUAUAGAGACGAAGAGCACGUGACGGUACCUAUAGAAGAAGCCCCGGCCAACUACGUG